CCCUGGCUCAGGACGAACGCUGGCGGCGUGCCUAAUACAUGCAAGUCGAGCGGAGCACUUCGGUGCUUAGCGGCGGACGGGUGAGUAACACGUAGGCAACCUGCCUAUAAGACUGGGAUAACUAUCGGAAACGAUAGCUAAGACCGGAUAACUGGUUUUCUCGCAUGAGAGAAUCAUGAAACACGGAGCAAUCUGUGGCUUAUAGAUGGGCCUGCGGCGCAUUAGCUAGUUGGUAGGGUAACGGCCUACCAAGGCGACGAUGCGUAGCCGACCUGAGAGGGUGAACGGCCACACUGGGACUGAGACACGGCCCAGACUCCUACGGGAGGCAGCAGUAGGGAAUCUUCCGCAAUGGACGCAAGUCUGACGGAGCAACGCCGCGUGAGUGAUGAAGGUUUUCGGAUCGUAAAGCUCUGUUGCCCUAGACGAAUAGCAAGGUGAGUAACUGCACUUUGUGUGACGGUAUAGGAGAAGAAAGCCCCG
rnacentral:rRNA from 1 species